rnacentral:rRNA from 1 species
UAGGGAAUCUUGCGCAAUGGGCGAAAGCCUGACGCAGCCAUGCCGCGUGAAUGAUGAAGGUCUUAGGAUUGUAAAAUUCUUUCACCGGGGAAGAUAAUGACGGUACCCGGAGAAGAAGCCCCGGCUAACUUCGUGCCAGCAGCCGCGGUAAUACGAAGGGGGCUAGCGUUGCUCGGAAUUACUGGGCGUAAAGGGCGCGUAGGCGGACAGUUUAGUCAGAGGUGAAAGCCCAGGGCUCAACCUUGGAAUUGCCUUUGAUACUGGCUGUCUUGAGUUCGGGAGAGGUGAGUGGAAUGCCGAGUGUAGAGGUGAAAUUCGUAGAUAUUCGGCGGAACACCAGUGGCGAAGGCGACUCACUGGCCCGAUACUGACGCUGAGGCGCGAAAGCGUGGGGAGCAAACA